AGAGUUUGAUCCUGGCUCAGGACGAACGCUGGCGGCGUGGAUUAGGCAUGCAAGUCGAGCGGGUAAAUGAAGUCUUCGGACUGAAACCAAGCGGCGAACGGGUGAGUAACACGUGAGGAAUCUGCCCCUUCAUUCCGGAUAAUAGUUGGAAACGACUUGUAAUACGGGGGAGGCUCUACUUAAGGCAUCUUAGGUAGAACAAACGAGCAAUCGGUGUAGGGAUGAUCUCGCGGAUUAUCAGCUAGUUGGUGAGGUAACGGCUCACCAAGGCUACGACGAUUAGCUGGUCUGAGAGGAUGGUCAGCCACAUUGGAACUGAGAUACUGUCCAGACUCCUACGGGAGGCUGCAGUCGAGAAUCUUGGGCAAUGCACGAAAGUGUGACCCAGCGACGCCGCGUGCAGGAUGACUGCCCUCUGGGUUGUAAACUGCUUUUACGGGAGAAGAAUCAAUGACGGUACCCCGUGAAUAAGCCACGGCUAACUACGUGCCAGCAGCCGCGGUAAUACGUAGGUGGCAAGCGUUGUCCGGAUUUACUGGGCGUAAAGCGAACGCAGGCGGACUGUUAAGUAGGAAGUGAAAGGUCGGAGCUCAACUCCAACAUUGCUUCCUAUACUGGCAGUCUUGAGUAGCGGAGAGGAAGGGGGAACGACACGUGUAGCGGUGAAAUGCGUUGAUAUGUGUCGGAACACCCAUGGCGAAAGCACCCUUCUGGACGCAAACUGACGCUCAGGUUCGAAAGCUAAGGUAGCGAACAGGAUUAGAUACCCUGGUAGUCUUAGCCCUAAACUAUGUUCACUAGGUGUCGGGGGGUUUCCUUCGGUGCCGCAGCUAACGCAUUAAGUGAACCGCCUGGGGACUACGGCCGCAAGGCUGAAACUCAAAGGAAUUGGCGGGGGCCCGCACAAGCGGUGGAGCAUAUGGCUUAAUUCGAUGCAACGCGAAGAACCUUACCAGGGCUUGACAUGUACCUGCAAUCCCCCGAAACGGGGCCGCCUUCGAGGGUGGUGCACAGGUGGUGCAUGGCUGUCGUCAGCUCGUGUUGUCGAAAUG
rnacentral:rRNA from 1 species